CUGAACCAGCCAAGUAGCGUGAAGGAUGACUGCCCUAUGGGUUGUAAACUUCUUUUAUAUGGGAAUAAAGUUUUCCACGUGUGGAAUUUUGUAUGUACCAUAUGAAUAAGGAUCGGCUAACUCCGUGCCAGCAGCCGCGGUAAUACGGAGGAUCCGAGCGUUAUCCGGAUUUAUUGGGUUUAAAGGGAGCGUAGAUGGAUGUUUAAGUCAGUUGUGAAAGUUUGCGG
rnacentral:rRNA from 1 species